AUACGUAGGGAGCAAGCGUUGUCCGGAAUUACUGGGCGUAAAGGGUGCGUAGGCGGCGCGUUAAGUCAGAUGUGAAAUACCCGUGCUUAACAUGGGGGGUGCAUCUGAUACUGGCGUGCUUGAGUGCAGGAGAGGAAAGCGGAAUUCCUAGUGUAGCGGUGAAAUGCGUAGAUAUUAGGAGGAACACCAGUGGCGAAGGCGGGUCUCUGGAAUGUAACUGACGCUGAGGCACGAAAGCGUGGGGAGCAAACAGGAUUAGAUACCCUGGUAGGCCACGCCGUAAACGAUGGAUACUAGGUGUAGGGGUCAUAAGGCCUCUGUGCCGCAGCAAACGCAAUAAGUAUCCCGCCUGGGGAGUACGACCGCAAGGUUGAAACUCAAAUGAAUUGACGGGG
rnacentral:rRNA from 1 species